AUGCGCUAAAAAAAACUGAUUUUUUGAAUUAAAAAUCUCAAUCUUAUUUUUUUGAACCAAUCUUACUAAUAUAAAGAAAAGAGACAUUUUUGGUGUGACCAAAAUUUUCAAUAAACAAUGAUAUUACAAGUUUACCCUCCGGGUUUUUUUUAGACUAAAAUCAUCGUAAAUAUCUUACAACGUCAAGGACAUAUUCGACUUCAGUCUUCUUCCCGUGUUUUCACUCAAACUCAAUCUGAAGGUUGAAGGAGAAAACCACCGAAGAGGAAGAGAUGGCGAAAAUCACCACCACUCUCCACAUCCUUCAGUUUCAUCCUCUUUGACCACCACCACCACCACCACCCUCUUCUUCGUCUUCGUUUCUUUCGUUUCUUAUACCCUGUAUCUAGAACCCUAAUAAUCCCUACGUUUACUGUAACCCUAAAUACCAAAUUAGCUAACUUUGAUUAUAGCUUCGAUUUCAUUAUUUGCCCAAUUUCGAUUUUAAAUCCACAUAGAAACAUAAUUUCACUUUAGGUUAGCAACAAAUUUAUUGAUGGAUCAACGUCGCUGUACAGGACUUGGUGUUUUGAAUUGAUUUAUAACCUCCAACCCUAAAUACCAAAUUCGGUAAAAAGUUCUUCUCCUUUCUUCUCAAAAUUAAACCUUCAAUUAUAAAUUUUGUAAUAAUGGAUAAGUAACUUCAGUUAUAAAUUCAAUGUUAUUAUCCUCCCAAUUUAGAUUUUAAAUUCACAUAGAAAUAGAAUUUCAGUCUUAGUAAGCAACAAACCUUCAGCAUCAAUUUCGAUUUUGUUAAUGCACUUUAUUUGUAGAUGGAUCAACGUAGAAGCCCAAGACUAUUGGAGCUAGCUCUAAUUCGAGAGCAGUUUAAAUGGAAAAUUCAUAGCUCUUGCCUUACUUCCAUACGAACCAAUUACCUUGAGGAUUGUGUGUUUUCUUUCUUGAUGGUUAUUUACAGAGUCUGAACUUUCUUGGUUGCACAAUAUGAUAAGAAACAUUUUAUACAGUAAUUUGUGCAACAAGCUAUCACAAUUCUUCUUCGCACAUUAUCGCAGUCGGAUCCAAACUGUGAUUUUCAGAAACAUGUUGUGAUUGCAAAGAAAUCUAAGUUACUCAUUUGAGAUUUCAAUUUUCAAGGGUAACUACACGGUUCUCACGAUGUUGUGGGCACACGUUGUGAAUCAGUUUAACCAAAGGUUAUACCUUUGGAUUCCAUAUUUGUGUUAAAUUUUGUUUCUUAUGUCUGUAACCAUCUAUUGUUCUGGCCAAUAAUUUUAGCUAGGUAUAUGCCUCAAAUAAGAUCAGAUUCGUUUACAGGAAUGGCAAGUUUUUUAACACAAGUAGAUAUGUAAUUAGAGUGUUCUUCGUUCUUAUUUGGAUCGAGUGCUCAUUUAAAGAUAAUUGUCAUUCACCACGGACUUGCAUUUCGCUGACACUAUAAUUCUUUUUCUAACCUGAGCAUAUGCAGUCCUGGAUAUGAAAAUGCGCCACCAUAUAACUUUCCCUUAGCUUACCCUACCGGACUGCAUGAAAACCCCUUAGUUCUGUCUCAUGGUGUUAGGUACGUGUUAAAGGAACUAUUAUUUAUGAUCUCUAAAAUAAAAGGAAAUGCAUAUGUGCUAAAGAUUCUUCAUCCCAUGUACAAUAUGGUGGUGAGCUGUGGUGAUGGUGGUGGUGAAGUAGCCACAAAUGAAGAGAGAAUCGGAGAUAAAAAUGAAGUUUUAUAAUGAGUUUGUUAUACAUGUACAAACAAUUGACAACAUCCGAAGCACGUAAUCAGACAAAAGAAAAGUCAUAAUACAAUUCCUUCAGUGGGAUCCUACAGCGCCCCGAGGAAGAGAUCCCGCCUAAGUCCGGCAAAUGUUGAUGCUUCAGUGGAGCUCAACCCGGCCUUUAGCUCCAGACCCCGUAAAGGUCCAAGACUUAUAGAACAAGAUCAAUCCCAAGCAUUGAUGUAAGCACGAAAAAGUUGCUUAGAAUGUUUGAAUCUGGAGUACCAAUUUAUAAUGCUUAAAUCUGUUCGUAGUUUCAAUCAGGAUCGAUGAAUCCAGCUCAUAUGUACGUUUUACUGUCUCGCAUAGUUUCAUCGAGCAUGACGGUUAUGCAUUCUGCCGUAAUCCCAAUUUCAGCAAGACAGGAUACCAUUGGGUAGGCAUUCACGCUAGAACAGACUGAUCAUCAUCAGUUGAUUCGCCAAGAAAUUUGCUAUCACUAGCUGUAUACAGAUGCUUACGUUUUUCUUUUCUGAUCGAUGUAUCCAGCUCAUAUGUAUGUUUUACUGUCUUGCAUAGUUUCAUCGAGCUUAUAUAAAUACACAUUCUUGAUGUAAUAGGAUAUAUAUGAUUGAAAAAUUAUUAGACGAAAAAUUGGAGUUUAAUUGUAAUUACUUAUGCAGAUCAGCUUGAAAUGAGUUUUGACCA